AGCGAACGCUGGCGGCAGGCCUAACACAUGCAAGUCGAACGAACUCUUCGGAGUUAGUGGCGCACGGGUGAGUAACACGUGGGAACGUGCCAUUAGGUUCGGAAUAACUCAGGGAAACUUGUGCUAAUACCGAAUGUGCCCCCCGAUUCAUUUUGGGGUGGGAAAGAUUUAUCGCCUUUAGAGCGGCCCGCGUCUGAUUAGCUAGUUGGUGAGGUAAAGGCUCACCAAGGCGACGAUCAGUAGCUGGUCUGAGAGGAUGAUCAGCCACAUUGGGACUGAGACACGGCCCAAACUCCUACGGGAGGCAGCAGUAGGGAAUCUUCGGCAAUGGACGGAAGUCUGACCGAGCAACGCCGCGUGAGUGAAGAGGGUUUUCGGAUCGUAAAGCUCUGUUGUAAGAGAAGAACGAGUGUGAGAGUGGAAAGUUCACACUGUGACGGUAUCUUACCAGAAAGGGACGGCUAACUACGUGCCAGCAGCCGCGGUAAUACGUAGGUGGCAAGCGUUAUCCGGAUUUAUUGGGCGUAAAGAGAGUGCAGGCGGUUUUCUAAGUCUGAUGUGAAAGCCUUCGGCUUAACCGGAGAAGUGCAUCGGAAACUGGAUAACUUGAGUGCAGAAGAGGGUAGUGGAACUCCAUGUGUAGCGGUGGAAUGCGUAGAUAUAUGGAAGAACACCAGUGGCGAAGGCGGCUACCUGGUCUGCAACUGACGCUGAGACUCGAAAGCAUGGGUAGCGAACAGG
rnacentral:rRNA from 1 species